rnacentral:rRNA from 1 species
GACGAACGCUGGCGGCGUGCUUAACACAUGCAAGUCGAACGGAAAGGCCCUGCUUUUGUGGGGUGCUCGAGUGGCGAACGGGUGAGUAACACGUGAGUAACCUGCCCUUGACUUUGGGAUAACUUCAGGAAACUGGGGCUAAUACCGGAUAGGAGCUCCUGCUGCAUGGUGGGGGUUGGAAAGUUUCGGCGGUUGGGGAUGGACUCGCGGCUUAUCAGCUUGUUGGUGGGGUAGUGGCUUACCAAGGCUAUGACGGGUAGCCGGCCUGAGAGGGUGACCGGCCACAUUGGGACUGAGAUACGGCCCAGACGCCUACGGGAGGCAGCAGUGGGGAAUAUUGCACAAUGGGCGGAAGCCUGAUGCAGCAACGCCGCGUGCGGGAUGACGGCCUUCGGGUUGUAAACCGCUUUCGCCUGUGACGAAGCGUGAGUGACGGUAAUGGGUAAAGAAGCACCGGCUAACUACGUG